rnacentral:rRNA from 1 species
AGUGAACGCUGGCGGUAGGCCUAGCACAUGCAAGUCGAACGGCAGCACAGUAAGAGCUUGCUCUUACGGGUGGCGAGUGGCGGACGGGUGAGGAAUACAUCGGAAUCUACUUUUUCGUGGGGGAUAACGUAGGGAAACUUACGCUAAUACCGCAUACGACCUACGGGUGAAAGCAGGGGAUCUUCGGACCUUGCGCGAUUGAAUGAGCCGAUGUCGGAUUAGCUAGUUGGCGGGGUAAAGGCCCACCAAGGCGACGAUCCGUAGCUGGUCUGAGAGGAUGAUCAGCCACACUGGAACUGAGACACGGUCCAGACUCCUACGGGAGGCAGCAGUGGGGAAUAUUGGACAAUGGGCGCAAGCCUGAUCUAGCCAUACCGCGUGGGUGAAGAAGGCCUUCGGGUUGUAAAGCCCUUUUGUUGGGAAAGAAAAGCAGCAGGCUAAUACCCCGCUGUUCUGACGGUACCCAAAGAAUAAGCACCGGCUAACUUCGUG